GGGGGCUUCCCAGAAAGUCACACGUCACCCAAGUAGGUUUGUUUCUAGUGAUUUUCACCUGCACUCAAGGAGGUGGUUUUUGCUCACAAGUUCCAACCGUUGGCACCUUAACAACUUCUCUGGCACCCAAUGGGCCACAGCCACACCCAAUGAUGCCCACAGUUCAGCUUUGGGGGUUUUUGUGCACUUCUCCUCAGCCCUAGGAGACAGGACCAUGAGUCUGCUGAAAACUAGAGCCUUACAGUUCAACCUGAUCUUUUGUCCAGUACCGCGUACUAACUGGCAGAUGCCCUAAGGAAAAAGUGGCAGAAAAUGUGGGACACAGAUCUCUCGGUGCAUUAAGCUGGGCUGAAGGUCGGAAGUGUCAAACCCAGAAGACAGUCUUUGUGGAGGGAUAUUAUGGAUAAAAGGGACAUGCAAAAUUGGGCAAAAUGACUGACUCCUGCCUCCCGCACCAGACUUCUGGCUGGAAAUUGGAAAACUGUCUCAGAAUAGAGAAGAAUAGGAUUCUGUUUAUGUUAUGCCUCUCUGUUGGUCCUUCAUCCUAACUUCAAGGGAAUGAGUUCCAAAAUCUUCUUAACAACAGACGUCUCUUGUGCAAUUGAAUCUUAUGCAGGCGCCUCUAAUAUACCACAGAUGAAAGUGGAAUUGCUCUGAUGGAGGGGAGAGAUGUGGGUGGGCAAGGCAGGGUGGGCACAUCUCCUUCUUUCUGCACAGAACAUUGUCAGGGAAGGAGCCCUCUAAACUAAACUUGAAAAUCCCUGUGUUGCAAGAACACUGAUCAUUACAGAAAUAGAUUUCUGGAGGGGCAGUUGAUUGCGGCAGCGAAGAAUGACUCUAGGAUCACAUACACUUGGAUCUGAAAACCAACUUGUUACUGGUAAAUGAUGCAGCCUUUGGCAGAUUAUUUACCCAGCUAAGCUUCCGUAUUUGACAGGAGAAUUAAACCAGGUAAUGGAGGUAAUGCACUUAGUGAAUUCCUUGGCUCUGGGUAAAUGCUUGAGAGAUGUUACUCUUCUUAAGAUCAAUAGCUAUGAUUCUUGAUAUUAUCUCAACAAGAAAACUCAUCUAAAUAAAUUGCCUAGAGACCUAUGUAGGAAAAGGCAUGAUCUGGGGGACGAGAACUGUGGUCAUCAGCAAUGUCUGCCUUGGGGGUCUGUAGGGGUCAUAGCUCCAGGACCCACAACUGCCUUUCUAAGUUAAUGCGGAGAUCGAGGUCAUUGCCUUCCUACCAACCCUCAGCCAGGAGAUGCUCCAGCACAUACGGAGAAUAAAUGAAGUGUUUGAGAACGUAUUCAGGAGCUGCUGUAGUGACUCUAGAUGUUGUUAUUGGAAGGUGGUAAAUGUUCUCUUCCUCUCCGAGGGUAUUUCCAUGUGACCAGGUGGUAAGAUCCAGAGUCCACCCAAAAUCAAACGGUCCCCGGAAUAAAGGAGACAAUGAGAUUGGAGGCUCAGUCUUGAUCCUUGGGUCUUUCUUUGGUGAUGGGAAGCCACCCUCACACUGAUAAGGGCACAUAGAACCAGUAGAAUCAGGUGCAGGGAGAAGGGAAACAUGAGAAGGAAAACAAAAAUUAUCAGCAUUCACAAUUAUUUCCAAUGGCCCAGUUCAGCUCAUCAUUAAAUAGUGUUACAGUGUGUUCAUUUUGCUGUGGCGUACAACAUUAAAGAUUCAUGAGCUGGGGCAGAAAACUGCUAGGUAGAGAUUUAGAGGUUCAAGAUUCAGUCGGCACCCUUGACAUAGAAGACACUUUCUUCCCUGAUGCUCCAUUGCUGUCCCUGCCCAAAUUCAGUUGAGCAAAUGCCAGUCCUAAAAUAAGUACUUAUCAAGAGUUCUGAAGGCGAAGCUGAUGAUCCACUGUGUGUUGUGAUCUCAUGCAAUGACCUCACUUUUAGGGCCUUUAUUCUCUAUAUAGCACAUUUUGUUUUCCAGCAAGAAUCUUCCUCUUCCACCAAGUGAAGCCCAUUGACCCAAUAUCUGAAGGCAGCCUGGGAAGAACCUGCACUCUUUAGACCACCCAAGGCCAAUGUCAUGAUCAGGUGCUGAGUGGUGGGAGGAAUCAGGCUCAUGACCAAAUCUGUGUUCCUCAUACUGGCUUGUGGUUGUGUGUUCAUUCGUUGUUGUCCUUACUCUUCCAGCCCUUCCCUGUCCAUCCUGCCCUUCUGAUCAACUCUAAAUAA